rnacentral:rRNA from 1 species
UACAGAGGGGGCAAGCGUUGUUCGGAUUUAUUGGGCGUAAAGGGUGCGUAGGCGGCGCGGUAAGUCGGGUGUGAAAUCUCGGAGCUUAACUCCGAAACUGCAUUCGAUACUGCCGUGCUUGAGGACUGGAGAGGAGACUGGAAUUUACGGUGUAGCGGUGAAAUGCGUAGAUAUCGUAAGGAAGACCAGUGGCGAAGGCGGGUCUCUGGACAGUUCCUGACGCUGAGGCACGAAGGCGAGGGGAGCAAACGGG